GGAUGAACGCUGGCGGCGUGCCUACUCCAUGCAAGUCGAGCGAACGGACGAGAAGCUUGCUUCUCUGAUGUUAGCGGCGGACGGAUGAGUAACACGUGGAUAACCUACCUAUAAGACUGGGAUAACUUCGGGAAACCGGAGCUAAUACCGGAUAAUAUUUUGAACCGCAUGGUUCAAAAGUGAAAGACGGUCUUGCUGUCACUUAUAGAUGGAUCCGCGCUGCAUUAGCUAGUUGGUAAGGUAACGGCUUACCAAGGCAACGAUGCAUAGCCGACCUGAGAGGGUGAUCGGCCACACUGGAGCUGAGACACGGUCCAGACUCCUACGGGAGGCAGCAGUAGGGAAUCUUCCGCAAUGGGCGAAAGCCUGACGGAGCAACGCCGCGUGAGUGAUGAAGGUCUUCGGAUCGUAAAGCUCUGUUAUUAGGGAAGAACAUAUGUGUAAGUAACUGUGCACAUCUUGACGGUACCUAAUCAGAAAGCCACGGCUAACUACGUG
rnacentral:rRNA from 1 species